GGGUCAGCAGGUUGGUCGUGCCACUGGUAUGAACUGGUUUCGCUGAUUCCUCCUUUCUGAAGAACUGUAAUGUCAUUAAUUUGGUGUUGCAGGGAAACAGGACUGUUACUUUGAAAAAAUUAGAGUGUUUAAAGCAGGCUAACGCUUGAAUACAUUAGCAUGGAAUAAUGAAAUAGGACGUUCGAACCUAUUUUGUUGGUUUCUAGGAUUGACGU
rnacentral:rRNA from 1 species